rnacentral:rRNA from 1 species
GGUUGAUCGCGUCGGAAGUGUAAUCUUGGGGCUUAACCCUGAGCGUGCUUUCGAUACGGGUUGACUUGAGGAAGGUAGGGGAGAAUGGAAUUCCUGGUGGAGCGGUGGAAUGCGCAGAUAUCAGGAGGAACACCAGUGGCGAAGACGGUUCUCUGGGCCUUUCCUGACGCUGAGGAGCGAAAGCGUGGGGAGCGAACAGGCUUAGAUACCCUGGUAGUCCACGCUGUAAACGGUGGGUACUAGGUGUGGGGUCCAUUCCACGGGUUCCGUGCCGUAGCUAACGCUUUAAGUACCCCGCCUGGGGAGUACGGCCGCAAGGCUAAAACUCAAAGGAAUUGACGGGGCCCCGCACAAGCGGCGGAGCAUGCGGAUUAAUUCGAUGCAACGCGUAGAACCUUACCUGGGUUUGACAUGGAUCGGGAGUGCUCAGAGAUGGGUGUGCCUCUUUUGGGGUCGGUUCACAGGUGGUGCAUGGCUGUCGUCAGCUCGUGUUGUGAGAUGUUGGGUUAAGUCCCGCAACGAGCGCAACCCUUGUUCACUGUUGCCAGCACGUUAUGGUGGGGACUCAGUGGAGACCGCCGGGGUCAACUCGGAGGAAGGUGGGGAUGACGUCAAGUCAUCAUGCCCCUUAUGUCCAGGGCUUCACGCAUGCUACAAUGGCUGGUACAGAGAGUGGCGAGCCUGUGAGGGUGAGCGAAUCUCGGAAAGCCGGUCUCAGUUCGGAUUGGGGUCUGCAACUCGACCUCAUGAAGUCGGAGUCGCUAGUAAUCGCAGAUCAGCAACGCUGCGGUGAAUACGUUCCCGGGGCUUGUACACACCGCCCGUGAA